rnacentral:rRNA from 1 species
AACGAACGCUGGCGGCAUGCCUAACACAUGCAAGUCGAACGAGACCUUCGGGUCUAGUGGCGCACGGGUGCGUAACGCGUGGGAACCUGCCCUUAGGUUCGGAAUAACUCCCCGAAAGGGGUGCUAAUACCGGAUAAUGUCUUCGGACCAAAGAUUUAUCGCCUUUGGAUGGGCCCGCGUUGGAUUAGCUAGUUGGUAGGGUAAAAGCCUACCAAGGCGACGAUCCAUGGCUGGUCUGAGAGGAUGAUCAGCCACACUGGGACUGAGACACGGCCCAGACUCCUACGGGAGGCAGCAGUGGGGAAUAUUGGACAAUGGGCGAAAGCCUGAUCCAGCAAUGCCGCGUGAGUGAUGAAGGCCUUAGGGUUGUAAAGCUCUUUUACCCGGGAUGAUAAUGACAGGACCGGGAGAAUAAGCUCCGGCUAACUCCGU